rnacentral:misc_RNA from 1 species
AGAGGGCGCACUUUCAUAUCACUGGUCUGUGUUUUCGUCAUUUCUAUUUUUGAUGCGGGUGGAUUGGUUUUGUUUCACCUUACGAUUACGAAUACGAGAAUGUAAAAUUUUCCGUCGAUUUUGACAGAUAUUUCUGAAGCAUUUCGGAUUGGAAGACAUCAAGAUUUGGUAGAUAUUUGGCUGGACCAUAAAGGCAAUUGGCAAGUCAUCGAGUCCCCGUGUCCUGACUGGUAGUCCGUCCAUAUAAUGUACAGUAGUCAUAGCUACCCAUAUCAGUUGGGUAGUAACCAACCACCGCAACAGCCUGCACAGUACAGCUCCUUCACACCGCAGCCGACCCCACAUUACCCCCAGCCCCAGCCCCCUCAGUACCCCCAGCCCCCGUCCCCUCAGCAUCCUCCCCGCCCGUCCAACGUCCCCCAUCACCAGUCACAGCCGGAGCCGCCCCCCCGCUAUACCCCCUUCACGCCCGUGGAUAACUCGACGGUCAGCAUGCCGCUCCUACAGAGGCAGGAACCAGACCCGACCACUGGUAACCAGGAGAUCGGGGACCCGCGGUUUGUCUUGCUGUGGAGCAUGGAUACCGAGGAACUGCAAUGUCUCUUGGACAACGAAGAGAAAUUCAGUGAAAUGGUGACCAACAUGGAGGAGGUGAAGCAGAAAAAGUUGGAGAAGGAGAUGUCAAUGGCUGAGAACCGUAGCCUGGCCGAAUUCAACCUCUCGAGGGGGCCCCGCCUGAACGAGGGUCGGUCACAGUUCAUGACACGCCUCCAUGAGGCCCACAGACUCAAAGAUUCCUAUACUGUGGGCAAAGCCAAGCUCGAUUCAGUGAGAGAGCAGAAUUCCUUGGACACAGCACUAGCCUUGAUGCAAGCAAGCACAGCAAACGCAGAAGAGGAAUCUGAGGAAGUUGCGGAUGACUUCCUGAAGGGAGACCUGACAUUGGAAGACUUCCUAGACAAGUUCAUGCCCAAGAGGCAGACGGCUCACCUCCGGCACAUCAAGGCGGAAAAGAUGCAGGAAAUACUGAACCAAAGACAGCGUGCUAGUUCUACUGCCUCGUCCCAUCAAGUUGCUGCCACUCAAAAUUCCUCCAUGCCCCCUUACGGCAGCCCCCACCAUCAGCAACCUCAGACUUCAAGCUACCAACAUACUUCACAUGGUAACCCGCCUUACGGUUACCAGCCACAGAGACCGGCUCCCAGAGCGCCCUACCCAGGCCCAAGCUACGGACCAGGGGCGCCGUCAUCAAUGCCAACGCUCGGAUCCUACCCGCAUUAGAUGCCUGUCAUCUUGUAUAGUGUGCUCAGAACUACAGCUAAGCUCAGGUCAAUCUGUGAUUCGCUUGCGCUGUGAAGUUGCGUAGUCAAGUUCAUUACAAGUCUUCAUCAGUCCUGACGAGUCCGUCAUAAGCAUAGAGCUAUAUUAAAUUUCUAGAGCGCUAACUCUUCAUUCUUGCGCACGGAGAUGCUUUGAAGCCGCUCUGGGCGCAGACAUUUUGACUUUAUGUGCGUGUUUGUAGAACACAAUCAAAAUAGAUGGAUUGAAUUUUUAAAAGUGCACUCUAAAUGCAACGCGCAAGUAGAAGAUACGCAAUCAUGACGGUUUCAAAAAUCGUCACGGUGAAAAGCAUCUGCAGCAGAGGGACGCGCACACGUUGCGCUGUUUGCGUAGAGCAAAACGAAACGCUCAUUU